rnacentral:rRNA from 1 species
UACGUAGGGUGCGAGCGUUAAUCGGAAUUACUGGGCGUAAAGCGUGCGCAGGCGGUUCGCCAAGUCAGGUGUGAAAUCCCCGGGCUUAACCUGGGAACUGCGCUUGUUACUGGCAAGCUUGAGUGUGGCAGAGGGGGGUGGAAUUCCACGUGUAGCAGUGAAAUGCGUAGAGAUGUGGAGGAACACCGAUGGCGAAGGCAGCCCCCUGGGCUAACACUGACGCUCAUGCACGAAAGCGUGGGGAGCAAACAGG